UAGAAACUGGGUUUCCAUUUUUUCUUCUCUUCUCCGUUCUCCCUCAGCUUCUUCUAUAGAUUUCCUAUUGAAACGAAGAUUUAAUGGAGGAAUUCAACAUGCAGUUGUAUUGAUUCAUCACCAGGACUUCACAAAAUCCACUGUAUGUUCAAAGAGACUUGAAAAAAUACAGUUCUUCAUAGUUUAUAUAUACUUGAGAAUUAAUAUUUCUAAAAUUGGCAUACAUAUGCAUCGUUUAUGGGAAACCGAUUCAGCUAAGGUGGGGCCUCCUCUGUUAUAUGAGACACGCUGAGCAAAGUUGAAAUCUACGAAACAUCUAAUUGUUUGUAGGGGAUUAAAGGGGAUAUGUUAUGAGACUUUGUUCUCUUGAUGUUGUUUAUUAUGUACCAGCGAUAAUGGUGUUGCAUUUAUACUUCUGAGCUAAAUCUUAAUUUUUAUUUGGUUAUGCUUUGUCUUGAUCUAAUUCAAAAACGGAAAGGAGUAUCAGAAAAGGAAAUCUUAUUAUCCUUUUUAAAUUUCCGUAGAGGCUGAUGACACUAACCGCUUUCUCAGUCGGCAAAUUAGCCAGGAGAAUUUGGUUACAGAUUUAGAGUUGAGGAUAUACGAAAGACUCCUAAUAGCGAGACAAGAAAUGCUUUACUUCAUAUGGAUGUUCCUCCUUUCUCAGGUUUUCCAUUCUUUAAACUUUUAGUUUGCACUUCUUUGUUUUCAAAAUCUUUGAUACAUUCUGUAGAAUUUUCUGUUAUCUACAAGACAAGAUGAUGUAGCCAAAAUUGCAGUCAAAUUGCCAAUUCAGAGACUAUAUCCAAAAGGUCAAUUUUGUCAAUGACGCUCAUUAUGGUUGAUUCCAGUUGAAAAUGUCAUAUUGGCGGGGAUGAAGUACAAGAAAUGUAAUAGCAUUGGUGACGGAUCCUUUUGCUAGAGAUGCUAAGAGCCCAGAACUUAUGGUACGUGAGUGUGCAAGGCGUUACAGCUGGGAAAGUGAUCAAGAGUAGGGUUCUGCUACUUUACUUGGACAGCAGCUUCAAGAAAAUGAAGCGACCGUUUGUAUAUGGUGGACGGAGCUAGGAAAAUUUGUGAGACUCAAUGCAAGGGAUGGUAGGCUGUUAGGCUUAAAUGCUAAACCUACAGUGGAUAGAUUCAUAAGAAAUAGAGUGUUCACAUGGUUUGGGCCUGUGGGGUGUUCAUGUCUUAACUGGAGCUUGACGAAUAUAGAAUACAUAACUCAUUCAACCAGUAACAAUGAUUGUACGUCUUUUUACUGUUGCUAUUUGACUGUACGGUUAUAACACAUUUUGUUUCACGAUGUCAUGUUUUUCGAAAAUUUACUGACGUGCAACGCACGUGCAAUCUACUUGUACAAGUAAUUACUCUGAAGACCUAAAGAAUCUGAAGACGUAUCAACAUCAACGAAGACAUCAUUUUCUCACUUGAGGUUAGUGAUGCAUAACU